rnacentral:rRNA from 1 species
GAUGAACGCUGGCGGCGUGCCUAAUACAUGCAAGUCGAGCGAACGGACGAGAAGCUUGCUUCUCUGAUGUUAGCGGCGGACGGGUGAGUAACACGUGGAUAACCUACCUAUAAGACUGGGAUAACUUCGGGAAACCGGAACUAAUACCGGAUGAUAUUCUGAACCGCAUGGUUCAAAAGUGAAAGACGGUCUUGCUGUCACUUAUAGAUGGAUCCGCGCUGCAUUAGCUAGUUGGUAAGGUAACGGCUUACCAAGGCAACGAUGCAUAGCCGACCUGAGAGGGUGAUCGGCCACACUGGAACUGAGACACGGUCCAGACUCCUACGGGAGGCAGCAGUAGGGAAUCUUCCGCAAUGGGCGAAAGCCUGACGGAGCAACGCCGCGUGAGUGAUGAAGGUCUUCGGAUCGUAAAACUCUGUUAUUAGGGAAGAACAUAUGUGUAAGUAACUGUGCACAUCUUGACGGUACCUAAUCAGAAAGCCACGGCUAACUACGUG